rnacentral:rRNA from 1 species
CACUUCUAAGGAAGGCAGCAGGCGCGCAAAUUACCCAAUCCUGACUCAGGGAGGUAGUGACAAGAAAUAACAAUAAACCGGCUUAUGCCGGUUUAAUUGGAAUGAGUACAAUUUAAACAUCUUAACGAGGAACAAUUGGAGGGCAAGUCUGGUGCCAGCAGCCGCGGUAAUUCCAGCUCCAAUAGCGUAUACUAAAGUUGUUGCAGUUAAAAAGCUCGUAGUUGGAUUUCUGUGGGGACGGAGCGGCCGGCCGCACAUCGCGGUUCGAGCUAGCGCUUUCCCUACAUCCUGCCGCGAACCGUGCUACCAUUAGUUUGGUGGCGCCGGGGAUCGGCUCGAUUACUUUGAGAAAAAUAGAGUGUUCAAAGCAGGCCACAUGCCUUGAAUAAGUUAGCAUGGAAUAAUAACUAAGGACUUCGGUUCUAUUUUGUUGGUGUUCGGGACUGAAGUAAUGAUUGAUAGGGACAGUUGGGGCGGUCUGUAUUCCAAAGCGAGAGGUGAAAUUCUUAGACCUUCGGAAGACAAACAGCUGCGAAAGCGUUCCGCAAGGAUGUUCCCUUUGAUCAAGAACGAAAGUUGGGGGAUCGAAGACGAUCAGAUACCGUCGUAGUCUCAACUAUAAACUAUACCAGCUGGGGAUCGGCCAACGUUAUUCUAUACCGACUUGGUCGGCACCUUAUGAGAAAUCAAAGCAUCUGGGUUCCGGGGGGAGUAUGGUCGCAAGGCUGAAACUUAAAGGAAUUGACGGAAGGGCACCACCAGCCGUGGAGCCUGUGGCUUAAUUUGACUCAACACGGGAAAACUUACCAGGUCCAGACAUAGUAAGGAUUGACAGAUUGAUAGCUCUUUCUUGAUUCUGUGGGUGGUGGUGCAUGGCCGUUCUUAGUUGGUGGAGUGAUUUGUCUGGUUAAUUCCGUUAACGAACGAGACCCCAGCCUGCUAAAUAGCGCGCGUGAGCUUUGCUCGCGGCGAGCUUCUUAGAGGGACUAUGAUGCGCGAUAGCACAUGGAAGUUUGGGGCAAUAACAGGUCUGUAAUGCCCUUAGAUGUUCUGGGCCGCACACGGGCUACACUGGCGCCUGCAACGAGCAUAUCAGCUGGCCCGAGAGGGUCUUGGCUAAUCUUUUGAACCGGCGUCGUGCUUGGGAUUGACCUUUGCAAUUGUUGGUCAUGCAACGAGGAAUGCCUUGUAAACGCGAGUCAUCAGCUCGCAUUGAAUACGUCCCUGCCCUUUGUACACACCGCCCGUCGCUCCUACCGAUGAAUGUUCCGAUGAAAUUUUCGGAGAGUGCCUGUGAACUUGGCUCUGCCUUGCGAACGGGAGGCUCAAAGUCACUUAAAUCUGAACAUUU